GAAGAACCUUACCAGGUCUUGACAUCCUUUGACCACUCUAGAGAUAGAGCUUCCCCUUCGGGGGCAAAGUGACAGGUGGUGCAUGGUUGUCGUCAGCUCGUGUCGUGAGAUGUUGGGUUAAGUCCCGCAACGAGCGCAACCCUUAUUGUUAGUUGCCAUCAUUCAGUUGGGCACUCUAGCAAGACUGCCGGUGACAAACCGGAGGAAGGUGGGGAUGACGUCAAAUCAUCAUGCCCCUUAUGACCUGGGCUACACACGUGCUACAAUGGGAAGUACAACGAGUCGCGAAGUCGCGAGGCUAAGCUAAUCUCUUAAAGCUUCUCUCAGUUCGGAUUGUAGGCUGCAACUCGCCUACAUGAAGCCGGAAUCGCUAGUAAUCGCGGAUCAGCACGCCGCGGUGAAUACGUUCCCGGGCCUUGUACACACCGCCCGUCACACCACGAGAGUUUGUAACACCCGAAGUCGGUGAGGUAACCUUUUUGGAGCCAGCCGCCCAAGGUGGGAUAGAUGAUUGGGGUGAAGUCGUAACAAGGUAGCCAAGGGCGAAUUCGCGGCC
rnacentral:rRNA from 1 species